rnacentral:SRP_RNA from 1 species
GCUGGGUGUGGUGGCUCACACCUGUAAUCCCAGCUACCUGGGAGGCUGAGGCAGGGGAAUUGCUUGAACAUGGGAGGUGGAGUUUGCAGUGAGCUGAGAUUGCACCACUGCACUCUAGCCUGGGUGACAGAGCAAGACUCUGUCUCAA